GGCUCAGAUUGAACGCUGGCGGCAUGCCUUACACAUGCAAGUCGAACGGCAGCACGGGAGCAAUCCUGGUGGCGAGUGGCGAACGGGUGAGUAAUGUAUCGGAACGUACCUUUCAGUGGGGAUAACGUAGCGAAAGUUACGCUAAUACCGCAUAUUCUGUGAGCAGGAAAGCAGGGGAUCGCAAGACCUUGCGCUGAUUGAGCGGCCGAUAUCAGAUUAGCUAGUUGGUGAGGUAAAGGCUCACCAAGGCGACGAUCUGUAGCUGGUCUGAGAGGACGACCAGCCACACUGGAACUGAGACACGGUCCAGACUCCUACGGGAGGCAGCAGUGGGGAAUAUUGGACAAUGGGCGCAAGCCUGAUCCAGCCAUGCCGCGUGGGUGAAGAAGGCCUUCGGGUUGUAAAGCCCUUUUGUCCGGAAAGAAAAGCAUUCGGUUAAUACCCGGGUGUUCUGACGGUACCGGAAGAAUAAGCACCGGCUAACUUCGUG
rnacentral:rRNA from 1 species